GUUUGUAGACAGUAGAUAAUGAACCAGGAGAGAGAGGGACAGAUAGACAGAGACAGAGAGAAAGAGAAAUAUAGACAGAGAGAGAGAGAGAGAGAGAGAGAGAGAGAGAGAGAGAGAGAGAGAGAGAGAGAGAGAGAAACAGAGACAGAGGCAGACAUAUAGACAGAGAGAAAGAGAAAGAUUGAAAAUAUAUAAGAGUGGGAAAAAUAGAGAAGACAAAAUGGAAUGAGAUAGUUUAAAGAAAGGUCAACCCUGAUAAGAAGUAAGGGCACCUCAUCAUAUGAGAUAGGGAUGUAGGAGAAGGAAAUAGCAAAAGGCAUAUGGGUAAUAUGAGAUGGAGAAGAAAGGAAAAGGGGGAGCUCAAUGGUGAGUGGCUUCAAUUUUUUUUCUGUAAAAUAUGAGGCAAUGUUCUCAGUCGAGAGAAUAAUGGGGAAGGGGAGCCAUGAGAAGUUUGAAAAAGACUGAAAAAGUUUGGAAGAGCUACUAUGUGAAUUACUGGGAUAGUAUGGGUAUGAUCAAAUGUGAGAAUGUUCAACACUGAGUACAGGAUGCCACUCUUCUUUCCAAAGGAGGCUGAAAAUUAGGCUGGAAGUUAAAUGCAGUAUGAAAUGGUAGGCAUAUGAUCAGAUGAAGGCCCCACUUCAUUACUUUUUCUUCUCUUAACUCAUUUUUCAAAUUUGCAAAUAUAGGAGGGCCUUAUUUUACAUGAACAAUAUGUUCCAAGACCCUUUGUGUAGGUUGAAAAUCAUGCAUAAUAGCAAACCCUAUAAUUUAAUAAGUACUUCUUAUACAAACACACCUAGAGACUUUAUGACUUUUCUUAGGCUUAUCAGAGCUACCAGAAUCACUAUUCUUGUGCUUUGGGGCCAUUAUUAAAAACUAGCAUUAGUAAAGCAAAGAGAAGCUUUUCUCUGAUGUAGAUACAACUCAUUACAACCAAGAACUCUGGACAAAGACUGAUAAUGUUGGGUAUAAAACAAGAGUGAGAAUGAGUGUGAUUGAACAAACUGUCGCUAGACUUUAUUCCACUUGGGGAAAUAGCAUGGAUUUAGCAUGUAAUUAAAAUUUAUUUUAUGCAUUUUUCUGCCUUUAGUUUUUUCAUUUGACAAUAUUAUAAACCUGAAUUUGUAUGGGUUGAAUGUGUGUAAAAUGAAGUCCUGCUCAUGAGAAGAUGGAAGCAAGGACAGGUAGUUGAGGAUGAACACAAAAGCCUAGAAUGAGCUAAGUCUGGUGAUAACAUGCUAAAGAUGGUACUAAGGGCUUUUAAAAUCUUUUGGGAUGAAGAUGUACAUCAAAGAAGAGAUAAGAACUCUAUGUGAGGUGGAUAGGAUCACAGUUAUAGAGAACAUAGAGAAGAGAACUACUAAACACACAUUUUACUUGUGAGCUAUCUAUGGCAAACUCCGAUUCCCCUAUAAAAUCUACCCUCCUGAGAGUCCUUCUCUGACUUCUUGCUUAUUGUGCUACGGAAGUAACCUUGAAGUUUUGAAGGUAAUACAGAUGUUAUACAUUGUAUGGUCACAUAUUGAAAAUUAUACAUUCCUUUGGCAGAUUCUACUCUACUGGAAACAUUUCUAGUAUAGUUCCACUAACAGAUGGUGUCUGAUUUCUGAAUACCAUCCUGGCAUAGUAGAGAAAGAUUCAAUAUCAGUAGGAUGACCAUCUGGUGAUAAAUUAUUUGUCCAUGACAACCUAUGAAAAAUUUUAAAAUACAAAAUGGCUUCUGGUCUUAUGUAAUUUCUCUCUGAUUUUGCAGUGACUAUGAGGGAAUGAUGCAAAAAAUGAGCAGAGGAGCACUAAGAGUCAAAAAGUUGCUAGACCAUCUAUAAGCAUUAAUGUGGAUGUUGACAUGGUAGGAUCCAUGCUUUAGGAAGGUCACAUCAGUAGCUGAAUGGAGGAUGGCCUGGACUGGAGAGAGACCUGAGACAGGGAGACGUUGAGGAGUGAGGAAGAGAAACCAUCUUUAGUGGUUGAAAAAAGUCUAAAAUUGGAGCAGCUGAGUGACUCUGUGCAUUGAGAGCCAGACCUAGAGAUGGGAGGUCCUGGGUUCAAAUGUGACCUUAGACACUUCCUAGCUGUCAUUUAACCCCCAUUGCCUAACCCUUAUCACUCUUCUACCUUGUAACCAAUACACAGUAUUCAUUCUAAGACAAAGGUAAAAAAAAUUUUUUUUAAGUCUAAAAUAUAACAUUAAAAACAAACAAACCAAAACCUUUUGCCUAGCAUUCAAGGAUGCCCACAACUGGGUAACCCUUUUAUAGUACUUACUGAUUUCUUAUUUUACUCCCUUCCAUAGUAUACUCAAGCCAAAUCUGACAAUAUUCUACACCUCUCUGUUCCCUCCGUCCCCCAAUAUGUACUGGGCUUUAAAUCACCUUGCCUUUGCUGAGGCUCUUUCCUAAGCUUGGAAUGCAACUAUCCUUGCCGGGAGCUAUCAAAGACCUUGCUGUUUGACACAGUUAUACAUGAAAACCAAGGACUGCAAAGUGGCCCCCAGGAAGGUUGGAAGGUUGGAAACAUCCAUUGAAACUCCCCUGAGUGGCUUUCCUUAUUAACAUCCCUUUAUUAUUGGAAUUGCUAUGAUUAUUAUUCUUACUUAGCCCCAGGAAAAAUAGAUGAGAGCAAAGUACGUGCAGGAGUAAUACUCAUGUCCCAUUUUAAUUCCCUAGAAUAUCACCAAAAGAUUAUAAUUACAAAAUUAAACCUAAGGAUUCUUAUGUACCCACUUAGAUAGGACCCUCUUUUCUAGGCAUAAAAGUUCUGGCAAAUUUGUGCUCAGAAUUCCCCAACCUAAAUAUGGGUCAUGUUGAUUCUACCCUCUGACCCCAUGCUUAGCAACAAUGUUUUGUUGACUAUCUCCUUAGGCUUCGUGUCUGUUCUUAGGUAUGCUCUUAGUAUGUUAAGAAUGCAACUAUGCGCCAAGUAGAUGUAUGACCAUGAGGGUAUUAUAAAAUAAAGCCACACCACAGCCAAGGCAGAGCAGGUUUUCCUGUGAAACCUGUGCUGUGGGUUAAAUAUGAAAGCUGAGUCCCAUUCACCAGUCCAUUGACACUGUCCCACCUCCAAGACCCCAUCCCCUGUGGGAGGUUGGCCCAUCCUGCAGCAACUGGCACCCA